UGCCGGAUGGUGUAGGGGUAGCACAACUGACUCUGGAUCAGUUGGCCUGGGUUCGAAUCCUAGUCCGGCAGCCA
rnacentral:tRNA from 1 species